rnacentral:rRNA from 1 species
UACGUAGGUGGCAAGCGUUGUCCGGAUUUACUGGGCGUAAAGGGCUCGUAGGCGGCCAACUAAGUCGGAUGUGAAAUCCCCAGGCUCAACCUGGGAACUGCAUCCGAUACUGGAUGGCUUGAAUCCGGGAGAGGGAUGCAGAGUUCCAGGUGUAGCGGUGAAAUGCGUAGAUAUCUGGAGGAAUACCGGUGGCGAAGGCGGCAUCCUGGACCGGCAUUGACGCUGAGGAGCGAAAGCUAGGGGAGCAAACGGG